UUUGUAUAAUGGGUCAGCGACUUAUAUUCAGUGGCAAGGUUAACCAUCUAGGGGAGCCGUAGGGAAACCGAGUCUUAACUGGGCGUUCAGUCUCUGGAUAUAGACCCGAAACCAGGUGAUCUAGCCAUGGGCAGGUUGAAGGUUGAGUAACAUCAACUGGAGGACCGAACCGACUAAUGUUGAAAAAUUAGCGGAUGACUUGUGGCUAGGGGUGAAAGGCCAAUCAAACCUGGAGAUAGCUGGUUCUCCCCGAAAGCUAUUUAGGUAGCGCCUCGGACGAAUACUACUGGGGGUAGAGCACUGUUAAGGCUAGGGGGUCAUCCCGACUUACCAACCCUUUGCAAACUCCGAAUACCAGUAAGUACUAUCCGGGAGACACACGGCGGGUGCUAACGUCCGUCGUGGAGAGGGAAACAACCCAGACCGCCAGCUAAGGUCCCAAAUUACUACUAAGUGGGAAACGAUGUGGGAAGGCUCAGACAGCCAGGAUGUUGGCUUAGAAGCAGCCAUCAUUUAAAGAAAGCGUAAUAGCUCACUGGUCGAGUCGGCCUGCGCGGAAGAUGUAACGGGGCUAAGUAGUAAACCGAAGCUGCGGCAAUGCACUUUAGUGCAUUGGGUAGGGGAGCGUUCUGUAAGCGGUUGAAGGUGUGUGGUAACGCAUGCUGGACGUAUCAGAAGUGCGAAUGCUGACAUGAGUAACGAUAAAGGGGGUGAAAAACCUCCUCGCCGGAAGACCAAGGGUUCCUGUCCAACGUUAAUCGGGGCAGGGUAAGUCGACCCCUAAGGCGAGGCCGAAAGGCGUAGUCGAUGGGAAACGGGUUAAUAUUCCCGUACUUCUUACAAUUGCGAUGGGGGGACGGAGAAGGCUAGGUGGGCCUGGCGACGGUUGUCC
rnacentral:rRNA from 1 species